rnacentral:rRNA from 1 species
CCUACGGGCGGCAGCAGUGAGGAAUAUUGGUCAAUGGACGAGAGUCUGAACCAGCCAAGUAGCGUGAAGGAUGACUGCCCUAUGGGUUGUAAACUUCUUUUAUAUGGGAAUAAAACGUUCCACGUGUGGGAUUUUGUAUGUACCAUAUGAAUAAGGAUCGGCUAACUCCGUGCCAGCAGCCGCGGUAAUACGGAGGAUCCGAGCGUUAUCCGGAUUUAUUGGGUUUAAAGGGAGCGUAGGUGGAAUGUUAAGUCAGUUGUGAAAGUUUGCGGCUCAACCGUAACAUUGCAGUUGAAACUGGCAGUCUUGAGUGCAGUAGAGGUAGGCGGAAUGCGUGGUGUAGCGGUGAAAUGCUUAGAUAUCACGAAGAACUCCGAUUGCGAAGGCAGUUUACUGGAGUGCAACUGACGCUGAGGCUCGAAAGUGUGGGUAUCGAACAGGAUUAGAUACCCGGGUAGUC